rnacentral:rRNA from 1 species
UACGUAGGGCGCAAGCGUUGUCCGGAAUUAUUGGGCGUAAAGAGCUCGUAGGCGGCCUGUUGCGUCCGCUGUGAAAUCCCGGGGCUUAACCCCGGGCGUGCAGUGGAUACGGGCAGGCUGGAGGCAGGCAGGGGAGAACGGAAUUCCGGGUGUAGCGGUGGAAUGCGUAGAGAUCCGGAAGAACACCGGUGGCGAAGGCGGCCUGCUGGGCAGUAGCUGACGCUGAGGCGCGACAGCGUGGGGAGCAACAGG